CAAGCACCAUUAUGCUGAUCUCGGAAAUCUGGCAUCGUCCAUUCAUCCUACGUCUUCAUUUCAGUGGACUCACGUUAUUUAUACGUGAAGCCCCAGAUACUGAACCAUUGCCUUGAAAGCCAUCUUCCUACUUAUAGUUGACCCUUCAAUAAGCAUAAGGUCUCUUCAUUUUCUUCUGAAACUUUAUUAUCUCUGACUCAGUCUGUGGCCAGACUAGAGCCAGGAACCAUUUAUUCUCAAGACUCAAAAGGCUAAUAAUGAUUGCUGUGGAAAAAGACUACCUUCCCAAAAGUGCUUAUGGAUUUAAAGAUCAUCUUAAAUAUACAGAAGCAGAAACACGUGAGCUGAAAUACAAAGGAAGAGAAAUAUUAAGUGUUUUUGAAAUUUGUACAAAAAAUUAAACAUGCAGAUGGAUAAAGUGACUCAGUGAAUGCAGCUGUUUAAGAUGGUGGAGAGGAGUGAUUGAUUGCCGCUUGCUUGAGCCCAGGGCUGAAAGCUAUUUAGCCAAGCUGAGCGACGUGAAUCGUCUUAUUACACGACUACAACAAUUUGUGCCCUCAAAUUUUUCUUCCUACACUUUAUGAACACCACAAAGAGAACACAAGUCUACGGCAUGACUUUUUA